UUCCUCUUAGCUCAACGGUUAGAGCAUCGCUAAGGUUAUUUGUUCGUAAGGGUUUAGCGUUUCCGGUCUGUUCCGGUUAGCGAUUGUUGCACGUUCGAUUCGUGCAGAGGAAG
rnacentral:tRNA from 1 species